rnacentral:rRNA from 1 species
GCGACGAUGAGUGACUGUACAUGCAGUCGAACGCACAGCGAAAGGUGCUUGCACCUUUCAAGUGAGUGGCGAACGGGUGAGUAACACGUGGACAACCUGCCUCAAGGCUGGGGAUAACAUUUGGAAACAGAUGCUAAUACCGAAUAAAACUUAGUGUCGCAUGACACAAAGUUAAAAGGCGCUUCGGCGUCACCUAGAGAUGGAUCCGCGGUGCAUUAGUUAGUUGGUGGGGUAAAGGCCUACCAAGACAAUGAUGCAUAGCCGAGUUGAGAGACUGAUCGGCCACAUUGGGACUGAGACACGGCCCAAACUCCUACGGGAGGCUGCAGUAGGGAAUCUUCCACAAUGGGCGAAAGCCUGAUGGAGCAACGCCGCGUGUGUGAUGAAGGCUUUCGGGUCGUAAAGCACUGUUGUAUGGGAAGAACAGCUAGAAUAGGAAAUGAUUUUAGUUUGACGGUACCAUACCAGAAAGGGACGGCUAAAUACGUGCCAGCAGCCGCGGUAAUACGUAUGUCCCGAGCGUUAUCCGGAUUUAUUGGGCGUAAAGCGAGCGCAGACGGUUUAUUAAGUCUGAUGUGAAAGCCCGGAGCUCAACUCCGGAAUGGCAUUGGAAACUGGUUAACUUGAGUGCAGUAGAGGUAAGUGGAACUCCAUGUGUAGCGGUGGAAUGCGUAGAUAUAUGGAAGAACACCAGUGGCGAAGGCGGCUUACUGGACUGCAACUGACGUUGAGGCUCGAAAGUGUGGGUAGCAAACAGGAUUAGAUACCCUGGUAGUCCACACCGUAAACGAUGAACACUAGGUGUUAGGAGGUUUCCGCCUCUUAGUGCCGAAGCUAACGCAUUAAGUGUUCCGCCUGGGGAGUACGACCGCAAGGUUGAAACUCAAAGGAAUUGACGGGGACCCGCACAAGCGGUGGAGCAUGUGGUUUAAUUCGAAGCAACGCGAAGAACCUUACCAGGUCUUGACAUCCUUUGAAGCUUUUAGAGAUAGAAGUGUUCUCUUCGGAGACAAAGUGACA